GUUUGGAGCAUAGAGUCUACAGCUUUGGUCUGCACAGAGAGAAGAUGAUGGUGAUGACUGGCAAGUGGACAGCAGACAGUUGACUGGGAACCUAGUCCCUGCAGUGGCUGUCGAGCUCUGAACCUUCUACUGCUUCAAGAUGGAGUUCACAGGAGGAACACGGAACCUUGCUGAGAUGGAGCAGAUGGGAGAAACAUGAAGACAAAGAAUAGGAAGAAAGUUGCUUUUACUGAUCACAUUAUGAGUGUUUCAGGGGAUAAAAGGCAGCAGUAUUAAGGAAGCAGACUGUCUGUGCACCAAGGGACUGGCACUUGAAAGACUCAUCACACUAUUGCUACCAUAUUGUGCCAAGAAGCUGAGGCUGCAGGGCCAGGAGGACCCUUCAAGCACCAAUACUAGGCACAAAGAUACUGUCCAUCCUCCUCAGCCAUCUGUUGACCUCCUGCAUACAAGACCCUCCCCGCUUCCCCCUCCCCCCAUAGGCCCUGCUCAACAGCUUAUGCCUCCUUGGCUCAUGCUGUCUCUGGGUGCCUCUCAACAUGCCUUCAAGCCAUCAUGCCCCCUGUAACCUCGCCUGCCUCCCUCCCUCACCAAGAGUGUGCUCAGAGCACAGCAGCUUUGUUCCAAUGGGCAAAAAGAUGACUUACGUGAGUAAAGCAUCGCAGGCUUGUCCCCCUAGAAAAGAAGUGGUGCAGGUCAGGAUUGCAGAGAACUCAACUGCAUGGUGCUAGGAGUGCAAUAAGAUAGUUCCACAACUACGGACCACUGGCGAUACACAGAAGAAGAGCUCCACUCCUGAGAGGAGUGUGGGAGAGUGUGUGCUGGUCGGUACAGGAGUUUGCUGAAGUGGACUUGAAGACUUGGUCUGUUUGGACAAGGAAGGAUAACUAGAAACAUUAUCAUUGUUGGGAUGACCUGAGUUAUGCUUUUCCAUUAUUUAAAAAGAUUUGGUUUCUUUUAAGUUUAACCUUAAUUCUGAAUAUCUUGGUUUACAAGUACUCUCUCUCUCUACAGCUAUAAUCUUCUUGUAAUUGUUUUAACCCUGAAGUUACAGGCAUGUUCUUGCAACCUUAACUCUACCUUAAAGAAAGUUCUCAGCAGUGUAUAAUAAGCCCAAAUUCUUUGUAGCUUCUCCAUCAAGGGGCUGUUUGCUCAGCUCAGGAUAGAGCAGCUUGGUCUUAGAUAGCAUGACCUGAGCAUUCCCUAUACUGGUAAUAGAGAAUACUCUACUGCUGAGGUAACUUUAUCUAAGACAACUAAAAUAUAAGUGCUCCACUGUACACUGAAAGGCAGGCAGCAUGUCCUAAUAACAGUGACUAGCUGUUUCUAACUAGGUUCAGGAAUAUGGUAUGUUCCAAAACCUGGCCCAUAAUUACCAGGGUUAAACACUGGCAUAUUGCAUUAAUGUGGCAUAUGUAUUUCUAAUAUGCAUUAAGGCAUCUUAA